rnacentral:rRNA from 1 species
UCAAACUUUGAAAUCCUGCCCCCAUUUCGGGGGUCCGAGUUGUAAUUUGUAGAGAGUGUUUCGGGUGAGACUACGGUCUAAGUCCAUUGGAACAUGGCGUCAUAGAGGGUGAGAAUCCCGUAUGUGACUGUGGAUCGAGCCCAUGUGAAGCCUCUUCGACGAGUCGAGUUGUUUGGGAAUGCAGCUCAAAAUGGGUGGUAAAUUUCAUCUAAAGCUAAAUACUGGCUGGAGACCGAUAGCGCACAAGUAGAGUGAUCGAAAGAUGAAAAGCACUUUGGAAAGAGAGUCAAACAGUACGUGAAAUUGUUGAAAGGGAAGCGCUUGCAACCAGACCUGUCCGUAGGUGAUCAGCCGCUGUUCUCAGUGGUGCACUCGCUCUGCGAUCAGGCCAGCAUCGGUUCGGGCGGUCGGAUAAAGGCCUUGGGAAUGUAGCUCCCUUCGGGGAGUCUUAUAGCCCUCGGUGCAAUGCGGCCAGCCGGGACCGAGGACCGCGCUUCGGCUAGGAUGCUGGCGUAAUGGUUGUAAGCGACCCGUCUUGAAACACGGACCAAGGAGUCUAACAUCUAUGCGAGUGUUUGGGUGUUAAACCCAUGCGCGGAAUGAAAGUGAACGGAGGUGAGAACCCUUAAGGGCGCAUCAUCGACCGAUCCAGAUGUCUUCGGAUGGAUUUGAGUAUGAGCAUAGCUGUUGGGACCCGAAAGAUGGUGAACUAUGCCUGAAUAGGGUGAAGCCAGAGGAAACUCUGGUGGAGGCUCGCAGCGGUUCUGACGUGCAAAUCGAUCGU